rnacentral:rRNA from 1 species
GAUGAACGCUGGCGGCGUGCCUAAUACAUGCAAGUCGAGCGAACAGACGAGGAGCUUGCUCCUCUGACGUUAGCGGCGGACGGGUGAGUAACACGUGGAUAACCUACCUAUAAGACUGGGAUAACUUCGGGAAACCGGAGCUAAUACCGGAUAAUUUAUUGAACCGCAUGGUUCAAUAGUGAAAGACGGUUUUGCUGUCACUUAUAGAUGGAUCCGCGCCGCAUUAGCUAGUUGGUAAGGUAACGGCUUACCAAGGCAACGAUGCGUAGCCGACCUGAGAGGGUGAUAGGCCACACUGGAACUGAGACACGGUCCAGACUCCUACGGGAGGCAGCAGUAGGGAAUCUUCCGCAAUGGGCGAAAGCCUGACGGAGCAACGCCGCGUGAGUGAUGAAGGUCUUCGGAUCGUAAAACUCUGUUAUUAGGGAAGAACAAAUGUGUAAGUAACUAUGCACGUCUUGACGGUACCUAAUCAGAAAGCCACGGCUAACUACGUG